GCUCAAUCAGGCUGCAACCGCGUCGGCCUUGGCGAGCUCGACAAAAAGGUGGGUGGCCACGAGCUCAAUCAGGCUGCAACUGCCUCAGCACCGGUGCCGCCGCUCUUUUGGCUCCGCUUCUCCGGCGGUAAAGGCCGCGGCGGCGGGCUUCUUUGCCAUCCUGCUGCACCUAUAGAGAGAUAGAUAGGAUUAGGGAGGAGAAUCGCAGGGGCGAAAGUCAUGGAUCGGCGCUGCUCGGCCCAAUUUUAUAAGGAGGACGCCGCCCUCCUCUGCCUCACAUCCUCUGCUUCUGGGCUGGUGCAGCUGGAGUAUCUCCGCGUGAUCUCUCCGAUGGCAACAAGCAGCACUUGCGUGACCUACUCCAGUUUCACGAUCUAUCCCCACAGCUGCUCACCCCAGGGAACCAAGAUGCAGGCGUGAAGGAUAUCAAUAAACAGUAUCCACCAUAUUAGAGGCAUGAGCUUCUUUAUCUUUGUGAAGAUAGGCAGAAAUCUGUUGGUGAUCAAUCAAAGACAUAAACAUUGACAACAGAUUUUUAUUAGCUUGGAUCCUAUGAACUACUUUGAUUAGAAGUCCGAAGUCGAUCUCAUCUCAUUAAUAAUUCAGUGUAAGGACAUAUGUAUUUGAUAGUUUUAAUAUGUGAUGCAUUUCUUUUUAAACGUACUGAAUUAACAAAAAAGGCAUUGUUUGAAAGAUGAUACAAUGUUGCAACUAACUCAUUGUGCGAUUUUAUUUGUCAAAUAAGGUCAAUAAUGUGAUGACAUAGUUCCAGAUGUACACUAGCAUGAGAUUACCCUACCCAAUGUAAUUUCUCAUCUCACUGUUGUGCCAUUCAAAUUCUGUUACAUGCGUGCUACAUACAUGCAUAUAUUCAUUUAUUUUUAAGAUAUAUGUUCAUAAAGAAGUAUUUAUCCCCCUAAUCUUUCUAUUAUAUUAUGUACAUGAAUAGUCAAAAUCUCAUAAUCUGAUGCUGCUAAGGUUGGAAGGGCUUCCAACAAUGUUGCUACUGGUUGUUUUGUUUUGCUUGUCGCGCACCAGCUGUCAUGUGAUAACUAUAAGAUUUCCUUCACUAGGCUAGGAAUUAACUAUCCAUUCUCACUCCGUUUAUAUUCUCCAGCAACCAGUCAUAUUGCACGAGAGAAAAUCUGAACAUCCAGUCCAUAUAAAUAGUUGAAUCUUGUGUGUUGUUAGUUAUUAGGAGAUAAUCCAAGCUAACUCACUUGGCUAGGAAUUAGGAACAACUUAGUGCAUACUGAUUCCUGCAUGGUUUGCAAUGCUUCAGCCAAUAGAUGGUGGUCUUGCACAGGUGGCAAAGAAAUGCCAGGAAGCAGACUGCUAUGGGUUGUUACUUGAGCAUUGGUCUUCUCCCAGCUUUUCUUUUUUUAGCAUGUUGAUAUUUUUUUGUGAAAACUAAGAGGACCAGAAGCAACUUGUAAGCACGUAUAUUUUGCAGCACGUGAUCUGAAAAUCAAUUUUCAUCUAAUCUUAUUGUCUACAGGUUGAUAGGUUUACUGCCAGGUUCAGAUCUUCCGCUCACGAAAUUUGCCCUUUCGGGCAGCAUACAUCAUAACUUAAACUCGGCUUUGAUGGUACAAUACUGAAGUGUUUGAUGGAUCGUGGAUUCAUGUUAAUUGAUGCAAGCUCCGUGCAAUAUGGUCACUGAGCCUGAACCCAACGAUGUUAUCUAGGUAAGGUACCAAACUCCACCGUUACCGCUUGUGUUACCGCUUCUACUUUGUUCCUUCACUUGCUGCUAUACAAGUAUAGUAUUCAUUCGUUGGACUUUUUACUACUAGAGUAGGUAUCUAAUAAUGCACUAUGAAGAAUAUUCUUAAAGAACUGCAAGACC